UUCAUGGAUUGCAGGAUAAAACUUACCAGGAAAGGUUAAAGGAUCUUAACAUGUAUAGCUUGGAGGAAAGACGAGACAGGGGGGAAUAUGAUAGAAACAUUUAAAUAUAUAAAGGGAAUCAACACAGUAAAGGAGGAGACUAUAUUUAAAAGAAGAAAAACUACCACAACAAGAGGACAUAGUCUUAAAUUAGAGGGACAAAGGUUUAAAAAUAAUAUCAGGAAGUAUUACUUUACUGAGAGGGUAGUGGAUGCAUGGAAUAGCCUUCCAGCUGAAGUGGUAGAGGUUAACACAGUAAAGGAGUUUAAGCAUGCGUGGGAUAGGCAUUAGGCUAUCCUAACUAUAAGAUAAGGCCAGGGACUAAUGAAAGUAUUUAGAAAAUUGGGCAGACUAGAUGGGCCGAAUGGUUCUUAUCUGCCGUCACAUUCUAUGUUUCUAUGUUUC
rnacentral:lncRNA from 1 species